AAUGUGGCUAAUGAUGUACACUUUUUUCCCCGUCUUAUCGACUUUGGUGAAAAAAAAACUAAACUAAUUUAGCCAGUUGUAUCUGAAGCCACUUG